rnacentral:rRNA from 1 species
AGUGAACGCUGGCGGUAGGCCUAACACAUGCAAGUCGAACGGCAGCACAGUAAGAGCUUGCUCUUACGUGUGGCGAGUGUCGGACGGGUGAGGAAUACAUCGGAAUCUACUUUUUCGUGGGUAUAACGUAGGGAAACUUACGCUAAUACCGCGUACGACCUACGGUUGAAAGCAGGGGAUCUUCGUACCUUGCUCGAUUGAAUGAGCCGAUGUCGGAUUAGCUAGUUGGCGGGGUAAAGGCCCACCAAGGCGACGAUCCGUAGCUGGUCUGAGAGGAUGAUCAGACACCUUGGAACUGAGACACGGCACAGACUCUGACGGGAGGAAGCAGUGGGGACUAUUGGGGGAUGGGGGCAAGGCUGAUCCAGGCAUACCGCGUAGGUGAUGAAGGACUUCGGGUUGUAGAGCCAUUUUGUUGGGAAAGAAAAGAAGCAGGUUAAUACCCCGCUGUUAUGACAGUACCCAAAGAAUAAGCACCGGCUAACUUCGUG